rnacentral:tRNA from 1 species
GGAGAAGCUGUGGGUCAGUGCUAGAGUAUCUGCUUUGCAUGCCUAAGGUCCAAGGUUCAAUUCCUGGCAUCUCCA